rnacentral:miRNA from 1 species
AUCAAGGUAGCUGUAACUUCC